rnacentral:rRNA from 1 species
GAUAUUGCGCAAUGGGGGGAACCCUGACGCAGCAACGCCGCGUGAGUGACGAAGGCUUUCGGAUCGUAAAGCUCUGUCAUUGGGGACGAAUUUAUGACGGUACCCAAGAAGGAAGCCCCGGCUAACUACGUGCCCGCAGCCGCGGUAAUACGUAGGGUGCGAGCGUUGGCCGGAAUUACUGGGCGUAAAGGGUGCGUAGGCGGUUAUAUAAGUCAGAUGUGAAAUACCAGGGCUUAACUCUGGGGGUGCAUUUGAAACUGUGUAGCUUGAGUGCAGGAGAGGAAAGUGGAAUUCCUAGUGUAGCGGUGAAAUGCGUAGAGAUUAGGAGGAACACCAGUGGCGAAGGCGACUUUCUGGACUGUAACUGACGCUGAGGCGCGAAAGCGUGGGGAUCAAACA